UAGCUCAGCGGUAGAGCACUUGCCUAGCAAGCGCAAGGCCCUGGGUUCGAUCCCCAG
rnacentral:tRNA from 1 species